CUCACUCAGUCGCGCCCGAGCGCGCACACAGCCCGCGUCCUCUUCGCCCCCGGCUAGGUCCUGCCCCGCGUCCCUGCAGUUCACAAAGGGCGUCGGCCAGCUCCUGGGUGGUGACCUCGAUGAACUUGGGAUCUUGAGCAAACUGCCCCAGUCCUUCUGAAAUCAAGACCUGGAGACGCGGGAUGGGAGCCAUGGAGAACCAAAGGAACAUUAUUCCUGGAGCCCAGCUCUUCUCUUGAGGGCUAGAGCCAGGGGUAUCUGAGAAACCAUUCUCCCUGGUAAAACUGUCGAGACAGACCCACUGCCCAUUGCCUGCUGCUGCCUUUUCAGGGAGGUUGAGAGGGCGCCAUGGCGCCACCCACCCUGAAGAUGUCAUCUUCAGAGGCAGCGGACACAGCCUCCUUCAUGGCCUUGUCCAGCUCCUCCUCAGCAGUGAGAUCUCCAGAGAUGGCCCGUCGGAUCUCAGGCCCGAUGUCAUGCAGCGUGCGCAAGCCAGCCUGGAACCCAGAGGGAGGACGGUGAGGACCGCGCUCUCUUUCCUCCGAGCUCCCCAGCCACCCACAACCCAGGGCCCAGGCCUGUCCCUGCAGGGCCCUGGCAUCCUCCACCCAGCCAGCUGACCCUCUAGAAGGUUUGCCUGUGUGUGAACCGGGGGCUGGGCUGCCCUCUGCUGGAAGAAUCCAUUUGCCCAUCCAGGAGGCAUAAAGUCUCAUUAGAAGGGGGUCCCAGGGGUCAGGGGCUGUCAUGGGAGCCUCAGUGAAGUGCUCAGAGCUCUGGGGGCUAUGACAGCAGGCAGGACCAUGGAGGGCAGUCAGUGAUGGCAGGUGGGGAAGCGCACAUCACCCCCUUCUCACAGCCAUCUUUGGAAAGGUCUGGAGCUCUCUGAAAGGUUCCCUCUGCAGGGACCUGGCCUCCAGCUGCUGGGGAGGGACCAGGACCCUGACUGGAGGUUAGAGGCAGUGACCAGGACCUUCCUGGAGUGUAGGCCCACCCCCAGACCCUCACCUGCAGAGACAGCGCGUUCCUCUGGGAGGGCUUGCCCACAAGGCCCUGCUCUUUACGCUUCUUGAACUUCCGGAAGUACUCCUGGAUCAGGAACGUGGCGUAGAACUUGCCAACGGUGACCUCAUCAUCUGAGACGUAUGGAGAGGGGAGAGGGGGUAAGAGGGGAGCAGGGGAAUUCAGUUGCACUUCAUCCAUUUUUUUUCAGCAUCCAAACUUUCUUUAACUUUUUAGGUUUAAUUUUUUUGGAGAGGUAGUACAUUCACAUGGCUUAAAAAGAGAAAAAAAUAUAUAAAAAGGCUUAUAGUGCAAAGUGUUUCCCACCAUAGCCCUUAUCUGCCUAGUCGCCACCUCCUUGUGGAUUAUCUAGUUUCUUGAGGAUUUUCUCAGAGAGUCUUAGUGCAAAUUAUUUCUGUAAAUUGACAAACAUAUUCUUAUCCCCCUUUUUUUUAUGGAAAAGGUAGACUAUUAUCAAAAUUAUUUUCCACCUUUUUUUUUUAACUUCACUGAUAUUUGCUAACUCUUACUUAAUUCAAAAUUUCAAAUGUCCCGCAUCAAUUGGCCACUCUUCCAAAUGCAAGUGCCACACAGUUCUGCUUAGGUUGGAGGGAGGGGUUGGUGGAAGGAGGGCCUUCUUUCCAUAGAAGUUCAGAUUGUUCUUUCAAACCAGAUUGGGUUUUUGUGCCAGGUGGCUUGGCUGCAGCCCUGCUGGGCUGGGUGUCCAAGAUUACAUGUGACAUCCUCAGUCCCUGUCCUGGGAGUGAACCUGAUGGUGGAGAAGCCAUAAGUUCUCACAGGAAAAAAUUCAUGCCUGUAAAGAAUCUCUUGGUUCUUUGUCAAGAAAUGCAAUGGGCCCAAGAGACCGCUGGGGAUUAGAUCUAGGGGCUGGUGAGGGUUCUUUUUCUCCUGCCUGUCCCUCAAAAAUAACCAAAUCCAUAGCAGAGAUGACCCCCACUUCUCUGGCGAGGGCCGCAUUUCCAAGUGGGAGGGAAAACCCAGGGUCCCCUGCCCAGUAUAGUCAGGAAGGAAGAACUGAAUGGUGGGACACGCUGGGAGUCUUAGGUUUCCUGGGCCUGGGUUUGAAUCCUGAAUCUGCUCUGGACUCUCCAGGUAACCUUGGGUCACCAUCUCAGCUUCUAAGAACUUUAGUUCCCUGAGCAAACCUCACAGAAAUGUUGUCAGGAUUCAAUAAAAUAAUGCGUUUGAAACAUC